rnacentral:rRNA from 1 species
GACGAACGCUGGCGGCGUGCUUAACACAUGCAAGUCGAACGGAAAGGCCCUGCUUUUGUGGGGUGCUCGAGUGGCGAACGGGUGAGUAACACGUGAGUAACCUGCCCUUGACUUUGGGAUAACUUCAGGAAACUGGGGCUAAUACCGGAUAGUAGCUCCUGCUGCAUGGUGGGGGUUGGAAAGUUUCGGCGGUUGGGGAUGGACUCGCGGCUUAUCAGCUUGUUGGUGGGGUAGUGGCUUACCAAGGCUUUGACGGGUAGCCGGCCUGAGAGGGUGACCGGCCACAGUGGGAUUGAGAUACGGGCCGUACUCCUACGGGAGCAAGCAGUGGGAGAUAUUGCACAAUGGGCGGAAGCCUGAUGCAGCAACGCCGCGUGCGGGAUGACGGCCUUAGGGUUGUAACCCGCUUUCGCCUGUGACGAAGCGUGAGUGACGGUAAUGGGUAAAGAAGCACCGGCUAACUACGUG